rnacentral:lncRNA from 1 species
AAAUACAAAAAUUAGCUGGUUGUGGUGGCGAGCACCUGUAAUCCUACUCGGCAGGCUGAGGUAUGAGAAUCACUUGAACCUGGGAGGUGGAGUUUGCAAUGAGCCGAGAUCACGCCACUGCACUCCAGCCUGGGUGACAGAGCGAGACUCUGUCUCAAAAAAAAAAAAAAAAAAAAAAAACAAAACAAAAAACAGCAAUCAAAAAACAAAAAAACUAGUGCUUUCCUGUUGAAGACAAUCAAGAGGCCUCUACCCUUAAAGACAACACUCACUCUCCUUCAAGAUCUGUCCCCACCUCCCUUCCUAGACAGCAGAUAAAUAUCAAAGUUAAGUCAGUAUAAACCAACAGGGGAGUUUUGGGCUUGCUCAGGAGGAAAGGUAAAAUACUCUGAAAGUUCUGUAGAACUUAGCUAACGUGGACCUUAAAAGCUAAGAGGGUGUCUGUAAGACUUAACUCUGGAAGUCCUUGAUCCAGGGACGGAGAUAGAACACAAACUUGGAUAAGGGAGUGUUUAGCAAUGUGAGUGUACCCUCCUGGGAUACAGGUUUUAAUGCCCUGGCAAGAACCCUGGGAGAAGGUGUUGAGACUCUGCUAAAAUGACUCUUAGACACUUGGAGAAAGUGACAGCCCACACUUAAGUGAAGUGGAAAUACUAGAAUUGUCAUGCCAGGCAGUGGAAAAAGGGGUCAAUAGGAUUAAGGAAAUGCACAUGAUAGAAUGAAUGGACUAUAUAAGCCUUGCAAACCCACCAGAUGACUGUCUUGCAGGAAGGCCAAAGCAAUAAAGAAUAGCCUGGUGAGAGCAAUCAGCACCUCUGAGCCAUCUGCAGUGGCUUUCCUCUGAAAGGCAGGGCUGAUGUUGUUACAUAACUGGGCUUAUUAAUAGCAGUGGGAAUAAAGGGUACCAAAAUAAUAGAGACCAGGUGGUAGUGCUCAACCAUCAGAAGCCAAGAGGUGCAGUUACCUUUUUUUUUUUU